rnacentral:rRNA from 1 species
AUGGUCAUUACUUUGUGGGUCAUCUGGACGACGAGGGGCAAAACAAUCCAUGAUAGCAUUUUUCAGAGCCCCAAACAAAUCUCUCGAUUCGUUGAGUCUCACCUCUUCGAACUAGGAACAACGGAAGCUAGAACUGCUCGGGUGCAACCAUCUUCGGUUAGCAGGGAGACGAGGAGGCGCUGGAUCCAUCCCAGUCCGACACAUGCAAAGGUAAAUGUUGACGGCGCCUUCUCACAGAAUGGUAGUGUUGGAGCGGCAGCAGCCUUCUGCAGGAACGAACAUGGCGAUUACUUGGGGGCUUUUGUCUUAGUUGUGGCAAAUGUGACCGACCCAGCUAACCUGAAAGCAUUGGCAUGUCGAGAAGGUCUCUCUCUGGCCGAAGACCUCAACCUCUCAAAGGUGCAUUUGGCCACUCAUUGUCGGGGGGAUUGGUGGAAGAUAUCAAGAAAGGUUCCAAUGCAAGCUACAGUGCGAUUAUUCAAGAGAUUCAAACAAGGCAGACAACUUUUACGAGUUGCUUUUUUUUUCUUUUGA